CCUCCGGGGAUGGUGGGGACACUGUUGGGACCGCCUCUGCUAAAGAGGAGGAAGGAAUGGGCAACGGUAGGUCAGCAUGCCCCGAAUUAUCUGGGCUACACGCGGGCUACAAUGGGUGGGACAAUGGGUAUCGACACCGAAAGGUGAAGGCAAUCUCCUAAACCCAUCCGUAGUUCGGAUUGUGGGCUGCAACUCGCCCACAUGAAGCUGGAAUCUGUAGUAAUCGUGUCUCAAAAUGGCACGGUGAAUAUGUCCCUGCUCCUU
rnacentral:rRNA from 1 species